UGGGGGAUAUUGCACAAUGGGCGAAAGCCUGAUGCAGCGACGCCGCGUGGGGGAUGAAGGCCUUCGGGUUGUAAACUUCUUUUGCUCUGAACAAGGCAUGCCUUUGGGGUGUGUAGAGCGUAGGGGUUGAUUAGCGCCGGCUAACUACGUGCCAGCAGCCGCGGUAAUACGUAGGGCGCGAGCGUUGUCCGGAAUUAUUGGGCGUAAAGGGCUUGUAGGUGGCUGGUUGCGUCUGUCGUGAAAGCUCAUGGCUUAACUGUGGGUUUGCGGUGGGUACGGGCUGGCUUGGGUGCAGUAGGGGAGGCUGGAAUUCCUGGUGUAGCGGUGGAAUGCGCAGAUAUCAGGAGGAAUACCGGUGGCGAAGGCGGGUCUCUGGGAUGUUACUGACGCUGAGGAGCGAAAGCGUGGGGAGCGAACAGG
rnacentral:rRNA from 1 species